rnacentral:rRNA from 1 species
AGAGUUUGAUCCUGGCUCAGGAUGAACGCUGGCGGCGUGCUUAACACAUGCAAGUCGAACGGAGUUUUUAAACGGAAGUUUUCGGAUGGAAGUUUAGAAACUUAGUGGCGGACGGGUGAGUAACGCGUGGGUAACCUGCCUCAUACAGGGGGAUAACAGUUAGAAAUGACUGCUAACACCGCAUAAUAUAGCGAAACCGCAUGAUUUUGCUAUCAAAUAUUUAUAGGUAUGAGAUGGGCCCGCGUCUGAUUAGCUAGUUGGUGGGGUAAAAGCCUACCAAGGCGACGAUCAGUAGCCGGCUUGAGAGAGUGACCGGCCACAGUGGACUGAGACACGGCCCAAACUCCUACGGGAGGCAGCAGGUGGGGAAUAUUGGACAAUGGGGGAAACCCUGAUCCAGCCGACGCCGCGUGAGUGAAGAAGUAUUUCGGUAUGUAAAGCUCUAUCAGCAGGGAAGAUAAUGACAGUACCUGACUAAGAAGCCCCGGCUAACUACGUGCCAGCCGCGGC